GCCAGUAUGGUAUAGUGGUUUGAAUAUUGGACUAUGAUUCUAGAUACCAGGGUUCGAUUCCCAGCUCAGCCA